GGGGCACCACCCAUGUGGGUCACCUUGUGCUGGGCAAUACUUUCAAAUAUUCCUUUUGCAGAGACGCUCCUUAGGCAGAUAUUUUUGCCUCCCUGAGCAGCUACAGCCCAGGUGAGGCACCACCCAUUGCAGUGAAACAUAGGAACACACCAUAGAUAUACAGGCAUUGAGCUCAUUUCAUUUAGAAGAAUUGCCGCAAGGGAAUUUAGAUAGGCACCUCUAUGGCUAUAAAUCAC
rnacentral:misc_RNA from 1 species